rnacentral:rRNA from 1 species
GACGAACGCUGGCGGCGUGCCUAAUACAUGCAAGUUGAGCGCUGAAGGUUGGUACUUGUACCAACUGGAUGAGCAGCUAACGGGUUAGUAACGCGUGGGGAAUCUGCCUUUGAGCGGGGGACAACAUUUGGAAACGAAUGCUAAUACCGCAUAAAAACUUUAAACACAAGUUUUAAGUUUGAAAGAUGCAAUUGCAUCACUCAAAGAUGAUCCCGCGUUGUAUUAGCUAGUUGGUGAGGUAAAGGCUCACCAAGGCGAUGAUACAUAGCCGACCUGAGAGGGUGAUCGGCCACAUUGGGACUGAGACACGGCCCAAACUCCUACAGGAGGAAGCAGUAGGGAAUCGUCGGCAAUGGAGGAAAGUCUGACCGAGCAACGCCGCGUGAGUGAAGAAGGUUAUCGGAUCGUAAAACUCGGUUGGUAGAGAAGAACGUUGGUGAGAGUGGAAAGCUCAUCAAGUGACGGUAACUACCCAGAAAGGGACGGCUAACUACGUG